UUGGUUUUACAAACAAUGGGAUGCUAUAUAUCAAACAAAAACUAAUCCUAGCAAGUAAUAACAUCGUACCAUUUAAUGUUUGAUGCAGUAAAUAUGACAUGAUUCUUUUCAUAUAUAUAUUUCAGACAAUUACAUUUCGUAUUUAAGAAUUGCACUUUACCAAACAUGGAAAAAAAUUAAGGGCUAGUUAGUUUAAAUUUCUAAAUUACUCCGAUAUUGUCAAAGACAAUUCCUGUUACUUUAUAGUUGAUGGAGAUAAUUUAUAUCACCUUAUAAUUGGUGACAAUUCCUGGUGGCCUGCUCCUACGGGAUCACUUAUAUCGAAUUAGUUGUACAUGCAUUACUAGCAAGAUGUUUAAUAAAUAUUUAAUUACGGGUACUUAGAAAUGCUACUCCUUCAGAACUGAUUUGAGCAAAUAAUGAUGUAUUUUUUUACAGCACGGUGCAGUACAAAUGCCGCCCUUUACAACAUACAUUGGAAAGCCUCCAUGACUUGGAGACUACGUGGCCUCUAAGGUUAUUUUGAAAGUGAGAUAUUAUGAUCAAUAUAUCUGACCAACCACAUUUAAAUUAAAUGCUUGACCAUUUAACAAGCUAUUCCUUGGGCGUUUUUACUUUUGUAUAUAUGUCAACGGGUUAAUUCAUCAUGUUUUUGUUUCCCUUUAUCUGACCAAUAUACAAUUAUUUUUUGUAUAUAAAAAUGUUUAUAUGUAAACUAGUGACAUAGUUAGAAUUAGGUGAAAUAGUUUAUACUAGCAUAUUUGCAUUUUAAAUUUCUUCCCUAGGUAGAUUUAAUUUUGAAAUAAAACUACAUCAAUAGUUUGAGAUAUUAGGUUUAGAAAGUAUUUGUCCUUCUAUAUAUAAUAAAAACCUUCUACUUGUGAGGGAUUUUAACCUCUUUUUCAUUCCUUCCAUCCAUGAUCUUCAGUUGCUCAUUUUACAAAUAUAAUAUCCAUGGACAAAUGCACGAAAUCGAUUAUUUUAUUUUAUCUCUCACAUAUUUCAAUAUAUUAAAAAUUGAAUUUAAUCAUGAUUCAAUGGCCUUCAUAAGAAAAUUCAAUUUUUUUCUUUCUGCAUAUAAUAAUAGAAUUUGUUUGUAUCAUGUAUUUUACCCGCAAAAUGUUUUCAUUGCGGAUUUCUUAUAAAGAUGUUUCACUUAAUUUUUCAAUGCCAAUUAUGUUGCACGUUAUUUCCAACGCAAGUAGUUAACGACAUUCUGCAAGAAAAUAGAGUAGUGGUUUCUAAAACAGAGGAACACCAUUUCCUUAGGGAUACUAGUGCAUACAGUACGCAAACGGCCAUACAAAUGAAGCAGAUAAUAAAAAGGUCUAUGUAGAUAAAUGCUCACCUUACUAAUUGAUGAUGUGGACAAACGAUCACGCUUGAUGGAUGUAGAAAGGCUGGUAAUAUUGUUCCCCGACAAAAUUAAGAUUUUCAACAAGGGGAAACAAGAAAGAUCCUCGAGCAACUCUACUUGGGAUAGAUUACAAUUUAAAAGGUCUGACACAUUUGAAUUUGGAAGUUCGAUCUUCAUGCAUGGAUCAACUGAAUUCCAAAGGUUUGGAAACACGAUUCGGCAAAGAAAAGAUUUGAACCAUUGAAGAUUUUGUAACUUGUAAUUGUUAGAUGGACGACUUAUAGGGUUUUUGCCCAUGUCUAAAUGUAUUUUCUCUAGAGAGACAAGAUUUUUUAUUGAUGUAGGAAGUUCUUUUAAAGCGGUAUGUCGUAUGGAAAGUUCUUUCAGGCCUCUGAGUUCAUCUGGAAUAUCGGGGAAUCUUUCCAAUUUUGGGCAAUCGGAAAGUUUGAGAUCUCGAAGAUUUUUUGACUUGAGCACAUUCGGAAAAACACAAAGUUCAGGGCACCAUUUAAAAUGCAAGACCCGGAGCUUGUCAUGAUAUGCAAUCGACUCGUGGGCUUCUACCAAGUUUUUACAAUUCCGGAGUUUCAAUUCUUCGAGAUUUGGAGUACAUGAGAUGUUGGGUGUACUAACAAGCGACUCGCAAUCACGCAAUUUAAUGUACCUCAAUUGUUGGAAGUCCUGCAAAAACAACAAAACCAACUACCAUAAACAUUCUAAAAGGGAAAGAAGGGUAUUUGUAUAAUGCCAUUGCCACUUUUAAUGAUUUUCAUCCUUCGGCCACAAUUCUCUUCAUGAUAAAGGUGGCAAGGAGCAUCGUUAGAUCAGGCAACUUGAAACCUACUAUAUAGGGUUCUAAGUAAAUUUCUUAACCUAUUAAUAACUUUUCAUUCAAAGUUAUCAUAUAUAUAGUAUUGAGAACUAAACCCUUUGAAACUUUACCAGUAAAUACAAAUUUUUAUGUAUAUACAGUAAAGCUUACAUGGCACGCUCAGAAGUGAGUUCUACCUAGCAAUUUAGUUUUUAUGAUCACAUUAGCAAAUAAGAGACAACUCUUAUCAUUUUAUUUUUAGAUAUUAUUUUAAAGAGUUAUAUAAUAUAUAAUACACAAAAUUAAAAAGAUUUCAAAUAAAUUAUUCUAGACAAUCAUCAAAACAGUUCGAUAUAACAUGAUACUCCAUACUUGACCAAUAAAGAUAUAUCGUGAUUACUAAAUCAAACGUUGGUUUUACAAACAAAGAAAUACUAUAUAUCAAACAAAAAAUUAUUCUAGCAAAUAACAAAAUCACACCAUAUGAUGUUUCGAUACAUUAAAUAUGACAAUUCUUUUUAUAUAUAUUUCAGAUAAUCACAUUUCGUAUUAAAGAAUUGCGUGUUAACAAACAUGGAAAAAAAUUAAGGGUUAGCUAAUUUAAAUUUCUAAAUUUCUCCGAUAUGAUCAAAGACAACUCCUAUUACUAUAUAGUUGAUGGAGAUAAUUUACAUCACCGUAUAAUUGGGGAGAACAAAUAUUGAAUUAAGGAUUG
rnacentral:lncRNA from 1 species